GACGAACGCUGGCGGCGUGCUUAACACAUGCAAGUCGAACGGAAAGGCCCUGCUUUUGUGGGGUGCUCGAGUGGCGAACGGGUGAGUAACACGUGAGUAACCUGCCCUUGACUUUGGGAUAACUUCAGGAAACUGGGGCUAAUACCGGAUAGGAGCUCCUGCUGCAUGGUGGGGGUUGGAAAGUUUCGGCGGUUGGGGAUGGACUCGCGGCUUAUCAGCUUGUUGGUGGGGUAGUGGCUUACCAAGGCUUUGACGGGUAGCCGGCCUGCGAGGGUGACCGGCCACAUUGGGACUGAGAUACGGCCCAGACUCCUACGGGCGGCAGCAGUGGGGAAUAUUGCACAAUGGGCGGAAGCCUGAUGCAGCAACGCCGCGUGCGGGAUGACGGCCUUCGGGUUGUAAACCGCUUUCGCAUGUGACGAAGCGUGAGUGACGGUAAUGGGUAAAGAAGCACCGGCUAACUACGUG
rnacentral:rRNA from 1 species